UUGGUGCAUCCAGAGCGGCUCGCCCGACGCGGUGAGCCCGGCAACCUGCCCGGACCGGCAAGGUGCUUCGCGCAAACCCAGCGCAGAUGUGGCCCAUAGCGGCAACACGAGGUCCAGCC
rnacentral:ncRNA from 12 species